rnacentral:rRNA from 1 species
GACGAACGCUGGCGGCGUGCUUAACACAUGCAAGUCGAACGGAAAGGCCCUGCUUGCAGGGUACUCGAGUGGCGAACGGGUGAGUAACACGUGGGUGAUCUGCCCUGCACUUCGGGAUAAGCCUGGGAAACUGGGUCUAAUACCGGCUAGGAGCCAUUUUUAGUGUGAUGGUUGGAAAGUUUUUUCGGUGUAGGAUGAGCUCGCGGCCUAUCAGCUUGUUGGUGGGGUAAUGGCCUACCAAGGCGGCGACGGGUAGCCGGCCUGAGAGGGUGGACGGCCACAUUGGGACUGAGAGACGGCCCAGACUCCUACGGGAGGGAGCAGGGGGGAAUAUUGCACAAUGGGCGCAAGCCUGAUGCAGCGACGCCGCGUGGGGGAUGACGGCCUUCGGGUUGUAAACUCCUUUCGCUAGGGACGAAGCUUUUUGUGACGGUACCUAGAUAAGAAGCACCGGCUAACUACGUG